rnacentral:rRNA from 1 species
CCUACGGGAGGCAGCAGUAGGGAAUCUUUCACAAUGGGCGAAAGCCUGAUGGAGCAACGCCGCGUGCAGGAUGAAGGCCUUCGGGUUGUAAACUGCUUUUAUAAGCGAGAAAUAUGAUGGUAACUUAUGAAUAAGGAUCGGCUAACUACGUGCCAGCAGCCGCGGUCAUACGUAGGAUCCGAGCAUUAUCCGGAGUGACUGGGGGUAAAGAGUUGCGUAGGUGGCAUAAUAAGUAGCUAGUGAAAUCUGGUGGCUCAACCAUUCAGACUAUUAGCUAAACUGUUAAGCUCGAGACCGUUAGGGGUAACUGGAAUUUCUAGUGUAGGGGUGAAAUCCGUAGAUAUUAGAAGGAACACCAAUUGCGUAGGCAGGUUGCUGGGACGGUUCUGACACUAAGGCACGAAAGCGUAGGGAGCAAACGGGAUUAGAUACCCCAGUAGUC